rnacentral:rRNA from 1 species
GACGAACGCUGGCGGCGUGCUUAACACAUGCAAGUCGAACGGAAAGGCCCUGCUUUUGUGGGGUGCUCGAGUGGCGAACGGGUGAGUAACACGUGAGUAACCUGCCCUUGACUUUGGGAUAACUUCAGGAAACUGGGGCUAAUACCGGAUAGGAGCUCCUGCUGCAUGGUGGGGGUUGGAAAGUUUCGGCGGUUGGGGAUGGACUCGCGGCUUAUCAGCUUGUUGGUGGGGUAGUGGCUUACCAAGGCUUUGACGGGUAGCCGGCCUGAGAGGGUGACCAGCCACAUUGGGACUGAGAUACGGCCCAGACUCCUACGGGAGGCAGCAGUGGGGAAUAUUGCACAAUGGGUGGAAGCCUGAUGCAGCAACGCCGCGUGCGGGAUGACGGCCUUCGGGUUGUAAACCGCUUUCGCCUGUGACGAAGCGUGAGUGACGGUAAUGGGUAAAGAAGCACCGGCUAACUACGUG